CAUCAGACACGGUCACGGAAGUAACCUGUAGAAACCUGUUCUUCUCGUGUUGCGUUGCGAGUAGGUACUUGCGAGGCGAGUGUAGGUCUAGGUAGUGGAUGUGUGUCUGUUGUGCAAUGUGCAUCGUCUAUGGCGAGCGGGAAAGCCGGCGUUUUCGAUCUUAUGCAUGAAUCAUAUAUCAUCAAGCAACGUCAAGAAGAUUUCAAGAAUGGAGCCGCCGCCGGUAGACGAGGCGGCAGAGAAAACGAUCUCGGACUAUCUGCGGUCUUGGGGAUUGGAAGCUUACAUUCCAAAAUUUUUGGAAGAAUCCAUUGAUGUGGAGACUCUCCAAAUGUUGUCAGAGGCUGACUUGAAAGACUUAGGGCUAAGCUGACGACAAAAAUCAAACUUUUGACCAAUAUAAUGUCAAAUGCUUUUGAGAACACUUGUUCUAAUACUACUCCGGACUCAAACAACCAAAUAAUGCUGUAUACAGUGGAAGAUUUGCCAGUUGUACAGACAUUACCUGAUGAAAAAUGGAAAUGAUCGAAUUUUAAAUACUAUUAUAGUGUAUGUAGCUAGGUUUGGCUAGUAUAGUGUGCUAGCUCUUUGUCUGAAUUAAUUAUAAGUUCCUACUAAAAUUAAUUGAUUUGAUACUUAAUAAAUAAAUAUAAUUGUAAAAAA
rnacentral:lncRNA from 1 species